rnacentral:lncRNA from 1 species
AGGUACACUCCAGGUACAUUCAAGCAUAGGAAGUACUACCAAGGAGCUAAAACACGUACUAACAGCAAACAUGUACAUUCAAGCAUCCACGUAGCUACCAAGUAGCUACCAUUUCUACCAGCAGCAGCAACAGCCGCCUGAAAGACAAGGAGGUACUACCACCACCAGCAGCAACCAUCCAUCACCACCAGCGGCGACAUUUCAAAGACGCCCUCCCCUUGUUGUUGCUUGGCGUGCUGCAUCACAAGUCCCCCUAGACACACAAAAUUUAGAUGUUCAAAACAUAUCAACAUGUUGAGCAGAUAGGGAAUCAUGGAGCAAAUGUUAGUGUGGUGCAAGGCGACAGAUUACAUGAUUAAAUAUUAACAGAAGAAGAAUCGUUGAAUAAAUCGUGUGAAAUGGCAUGGUGGAUUUGGAAAGUAACAUUCAAGCGGCAGUUUGAAUCGAUGAGCAGACUAUACAGAUUCUAACAAGGCUACAAGGUUACAAGGCUACACAUUUGAACACAAGAAGCCAUAAAUUUGAACAACCAAAUUAAGAAUAGGAGUAGAUCAACAAUUGCAUAGCAACUAAAUUCUAAAUAUCACUAACCAACAAUACCCAAAUGACGUGGUGCGGCGACACAGAAACAUGGAAACCAACACAAAGUCUGCCAAAAUUUCAUCGCAUCACCGAGCAAACACUGAGAUCAGGUGGAAGAGGCCAACACUGAAUAGAGCGGUAACAGAGAGGGAAUGGGGGAGCGGAUAAAUUACAACAUCACAAAAGAUACUUCCACUUCUCACCAUCGACCUUGCAAACCUGCGAUUUAAACACAAAUCAGGACACGGGAUUUGCAAGAAAAACUAUCACAGCACGAGUUCGAAUAAGAACAAGGAGAUAGGAGCGGGAGCAAAGGGAACCGAGAUGCUUACCAUGGAGACCUGCUUGAUGUUGGAGUCCUUCCUGAAUAUGUCCCUGCAAAAAUAGAACCAAAAUGGGCCCCGGUCAGGACGCGUCACCACGCCACAGAAACAACAUGAAUCGAACCACAACAACAAAUCAGAUCUCGGGCUCACAUGAGGACUAAGACAGCGCUUGGGCUUGUUGUUGUCUUUCUUGGCCUUGCUCUUCUUCA